CAACGGAUAUGAGAGGAAGCGGUUAAAACGAUGUAUUUGCAACGUAUUUACCCUGAGUGAACGCUUGUUUAUUUUUUAUUUUAGUGACAUAAUGUUCGUUUUAAGGUUGGAAGUUCUCAUUAUUGUUUACGGAAUUUGUGCAAAAGCGGUUCAUCAAGGAAGACAAGAAUUUGUAGAAUUCAAUAUGGAUUUUAAGAUACAAUGCCGACACUACCUUUUCCAAUGUUUCCAAGAGUGUUGGAAAGGGAGAUUCGGGCAGCGACAUUUGCCUUUUCUCGACCGCUAAAUACGUGUAUUGUAAAUGACAAGUUCAGAUAUGAUUCUGUUUUAUCAUCUAAUACUAAGUCGUUCAUGGCUCAGAAACUUAAAUAUC